ACUUGUCUAGCUCAGUUGGUAAAAUACAUGGCUCUUAACCCUGUGGUCGUGGGUUCGAGCCCCACGGGUGGGCG
rnacentral:tRNA from 7 species